rnacentral:rRNA from 1 species
CGGGUGAGUAACACGUGGAUAACCUACCUAUAAGACUGGGAUAACUUCGGGAAACCGGAGCUAAUACCGGAUAAUAUUUUGAACCGCAUGGUUCAAAAGUGAAAGACGGUCUUGCUGUCACUUAUAGAUGGAUCCGCGCUGCAUUAGCUAGUUGGUAAGGUAACGGCUUACCAAGGCAACGAUGCAUAGCCGACCUGAGAGGGUGAUCGGCUACACUGGAACUGAGACACGGUCCAG